UACGAGGGGGGCGAGCGUUGUUCGGAAUUACUGGGCGUAAAGCGUGCGCAGGCGGUUUGCUAAGACCGAUGUGAAAUCCCCGGGCUUAACCUGGGAACUGCAUUGGUGACUGGCAGGCUAGAGUAUGGCAGAGGGGGGUAGAAUUCCACGUGUAGCAGUGAAAUGCGUAGAGAUGUGGAGGAAUACCGAUGGCGAAGGCAGCCCCCUGGGCCAAUACUGACGCUCAUGCACGAAAGCGUGGGGAGCAAACAGG
rnacentral:rRNA from 1 species